AACAGAAAGUAGCUUGCUACUUUGCUGACGAGCGGCGGACGGGUGAGUAAUGCCUGGGAAUAUGCCUUGAUGUGGGGGAUAACUAUUGGAAACGAUAGCUAAUACCGCAUAAUGUCUUCGGACCAAAGAGGGGGAUCUUCGGACCUCUCGCGUCAAGAUUAGCCCAGGUGAGAUUAGCUAGUUGGUGGGGUAAGAGCUCACCAAGGCGACGAUCUCUAGCUGGUCUGAGAGGAUGAUCAGCCACACUGGAACUGAGACACGGUCCAGACUCCUACGGGAGGCAGCAGUGGGGAAUAUUGCACAAUGGGCGAAAGCCUGAUGCAGCCAUGCCGCGUGUAUGAAGAAGGCCUUCGGGUUGUAAAGUACUUUCAGUCGUGAGGAAGGGUGUGCAGUUAAUAGCUGUACAUCUUGACGUUAGCGACAGAAGAAGCACCGGCUAACUCCGUGCCAGCAGCCGCGGUAAUACGGAGGGUGCGAGCGUUAAUCGGAAUUACUGGGCGUAAAGCGCAUGCAGGUGGUUCAUUAAGUCAGAUGUGAAAGCCCGGGGCUCAACCUCGGAACCGCAUUUGAAACUGGUGAACUAGAGUGCUGUAGAGGGGGGUAGAAUUUCAGGUGUAGCGGUGAAAUGCGUAGAGAUCUGAAGGAAUACCAGUGGCGAAGGCGGCCCCCUGGACAGACACUGACACUCAGAUGCGAAAGCGUGGGGAGCAAACAG
rnacentral:rRNA from 1 species